GGGAAAAGCAGCUAGGAGGGAGCACAGAAAUAGAAAGUGCUAGAGCCAGGAUUCCAGCACAGGCCUGUCUAACUCCAAAGGUCUUAUUUUUACAAGAUCAUCUCAAGCUAUCCUACUGAGGGAAGAGAAGAGGAGAGAGAGGGAGCCUCAACAAAGUCUAUCAAGCUGCCACCACUGAUGACCUCAGUGACUGGCAGCUUGAAUCCGUGGUAGUGAGCAUGGGGCAGCGGAACCUCAAUUUGGAGGUAGACAAACCUGAGUAAAUGGGGCUCUUUGCCUCAGUAAAUUCCAAGAGACUGUGGAUAAGUCUGUUUCUUUCACUGGGCCACAACUUUCCAGGUGAUGAAAAAGAAAUAGCAAUGCCUGCCACA